GGCCCUGUCCAGCUCAAUUGGUAGACAGAGCUAGGCCUCGACACCGCUAGGGUCACGGGUUCGAUUCCCACUGGGGUCA